CUACAGGCUUAACACAUGCAAGUCGAGGGGCAGCAUGGUCUUAGCUUGCUAAGGCCGAUGGCGACCGGCGCACGGGUGAGUAACGCGUAUCCAACCUGCCUUACACUCUUGGACAGCCUUCUGAAAGGGAGAUUAAUACAAGAUGUUAUCAUGAGUAAGCAUUUUCGCAUGAUUAAAGGUUUACCGGUGUAAGAUGGGGAUGCGUUCCAUUAGAUAGUAGGCGGGGUAACGGCCCACCUAGUCUUCGAUGGAUAGGGGUUCUGAGAGGAAGGUCCCCCACAUUGGAACUGAGACACGGUCCAAACUCCUACGGGAGGCAGCAGUGAGGAAUAUUGGUCAAUGGACGAGAGUCUGAACCAGCCAAGUAGCGUGAAGGAUGAAGGUUCUAUGGAUUGUAAACUUCUUUUAUACGGGAAUAAACGAAUCCACGUGUGGAUUUUUGCAUGUACCGUAUGAAUAAGGAUCGGCUAACUCCGUGCCAGCAGCCGCGGUAAUACGGAGGAUCCGAGCGUUAUCCGGAUUUAUUGGGUUUAAAGGGAGCGUAGAUGGGUUGUUAAGUCAGUUGUGAAAGUUUGCGGCUCAACCGUAAAAUUGCAAUUGAUACUGGCAGUCUUGAGUACAGUUGAGGUAGGCGGAAUUCGUGGUGUAGCGGUGAAAUGCUUAGAUAUCACGAAGAACUCCGAUUGCGAAGGCAGCUUACUAACCUGUAACUGACAUUGAUGCUCGAAAGUGUGGGUAUCAAACAGGAUUAGAUACCCUGGUAGUCCACACGGUAAACGAUGAAUACUCGCUGUAGGCGAUAUACAGUCUGCGGCCAAGCGAAAGCAUUAAGUAUUCCACCUGGGGAGUACGCCGGCAACGGUGAAACUCAAAGGAAUUGACGGGGGCCCGCACAAGCGGAGGAACAUGUGGUUUAAUUCGAUGAUACGCGAGGAACCUUACCCGGGCUUAAAUUGCAACCGAAUAUGGCGGAAACGCUAUAGCUAGCAAUAGCGGUUGUGAAGGUGCUGCAUGGUUGUCGUCAGCUCGUGCCGUGAGGUGUCGGCUUAAGUGCCAUAACGAGCGCAACCCUUGCCGAUAGUUACUAACAGGUCAUGCUGAGGACUCUGUCGGGACUGCCAUCGUAAGAUGUGAGGAAGGUGGGGAUGACGUCAAAUCAGCACGGCCCUUACGUCCGGGGCUACACACGUGUUACAAUGGGGGGUACAGAGGGCUGCUACCACGCAAGUGGAUGCCAAUCCCAAAAACCUCUCUCAGUUCGGAUUGAAGUCUGCAACCCGACUUCAUGAAGCUGGAUUCGCUAGUAAUCGCGCAUCAGCCACGGCGCGGUGAAUACGUUCCCGGGCCUUGUACACACCGCCCGUCAAGCCAUGGGAGCCGGGGGUACCUGAAGUGCGUAACCGCAAGGAGCGCCCUAGGGUAAAACUGGUGACUGGGGCUAAGUG
rnacentral:rRNA from 1 species